rnacentral:rRNA from 1 species
UACGGAGGGGGCAAGCGUUGUUCGGAAUUACUGGGCGUAAAGGGCGCGCAGGCGGCCGAUCAAGUCAGAUGUGAAAGCCCCGGGCUCAACCUGGGAAUAGCAUUUGGGACUGGUCGGCUAGAGUUCGGGAGAGGAGAGUGGAAUUCCCAGUGUAGAGGUGAAAUUCGUAGAUAUUGGGAAGAACACCGGUGGCGAAGGCGGCUCUCUGGACCGACACUGACGCUGAGGCGCGAAAGCGUGGGGAGCAAACAGG